GACGAACGCUGGCGGCGUGCUUAACACAUGCAAGUCGAACGGAAAGGCCCUGCUUUUGUGGGGUGCUCGAGUGGCGAACGGGUGAGUAACACGUGAGUAACCUGCCCUUGACUUUGGGAGAACUUCAGGAAACUGGGGCUAAUACCGGAUAGGAGCUCCUGCUGCAUGGUGGGGGUUGGAAAGUUUCGGCGGUUGGGGAUGGACUCGCGGCUUAUCAGCUUGUUGGUGGGGUAGGGGCUGACCAAGGCUUUGACGGGUAGCCGGCCUGAGAGGGUGACCGGCCACAUUGGGACUGAGAUACGGCCCAGACUCCUACGGGAGGCAGCAGUGGGGAAUAUUGCACAAUGGGCGGAAGCCUGAUGCAGCAACGCCGCGUGCGGGAUGACGGCCUUCGGGUUGUAAACCGCUUUCGCCUGUGACGAAGCGUGAGUGACGGUAAUGUGUAAAGAAGCACCGGCUAACUACGUG
rnacentral:rRNA from 1 species